rnacentral:tRNA from 1 species
AUAUAGCUCAGUGGUAGGAUAUUUGCCUAGCAUGCAUAAGGCCCUGGGUUAGAUCCCCAGCAAUA